rnacentral:lncRNA from 1 species
GUGAUAAUAGAGUGUGCCCCUCUGCAACAGACUCAGCUAUAAAUAAAACUAACCUGGCUUACACAUAUAAGGAACAUGUUUUUGAUGGAUCAUCUUUUGGGAAAUGCUGAGCAGCAAGCUUGCAAACCAGCCAACACCUUUCAUGAAAUCCAGCGAAACUGCCAGGCAUUUUUACAGUAACUCUAUCCCCCUCAUGAUCCAUCGAUGGCUAUUUUACAAUUUGGCUAAAUCCAGCUCUGAGGUAACAAGUGACACCUUCUGUUUCCAUGCUUCCGGUCGCUAGGCAACCUCAGCAAUUAUGCCACUGCCAAGAGAGGGAAGGGAGGAAGUAACCCCCUGCCUCUUGGCCGCGUCCGGUCCGGCUUCAUCCGUCAUCUAAGUGCAGUGCUUCCAUACUAAGCCAGUGAUGAGGACUGCUGGAACAUGCUGGGCUUCCUACUGCUCUCAUUAAAUUAGCUCUCCGUCCUGUGUUAUAGUUGUCUGGUGAGGAUGUCUGUGAGGAGCUUGCUGACUGCACCAAAACACUCUGCUGCCCUCUCUUGUUUUUCUGUGUACUGUUCAAUAAUGAUUUCCUCAUUUAAAUGAAAAGAACUGCUCCAGUCAUAAUAAUAUUUUUAUUAUUAAUAUUAUUAUUAUUAUUAUCAGAACAUACUGCCUAGCUUCACAUUCUAUUCUAUUCUAUUCUAUAAAUUGAAACCACAAAAUGGUAAAUAUGUUUUAGCAAUAUUAUAAUUACAUAGGAAUUAGAAAUAGGUUGCAUCCAUCAAAUCUUUCACAUCCAGAAAUAGACAUACCUGCUCUAGAUAUAACCGCUUUCACCUGUUAAUUAUGUCAUCUGAUUGUUAAUGUAAUAUAGUUCAAUCUAAUCCAUUCAUUCCAACAAAUCACCAGUAGUUCUCAGCCACUAUAGUUAAGGAUUAUUUAAUCCCUGACAUCCAUUGUCAUUAUUAUUUCCUAACUAUGCAACUCCAAAUGGCCUUUUAGUGAUAGAGAUACUGGGGUUCUACCAGCACUGACAAAACCAUUGUGCCCUUUCAGGUCAUCAUGACACUGUGAUGAACAGACACAUUCACACAACAGUAAAGUGCCAAACUGCACCUUAAUUUUGGAACAUAAAACAAGAUUGUAAUCCCAGAAAAAAAACACUUUCUUCCACAAGAAUAAACAUGACUGGAAUUAUCCUCA